rnacentral:rRNA from 1 species
AUUGAACGCUGGCGGCAUGCUUUACACAUGCAAGUCGGACGGCAGCACAGAGAAGCUUGCUUCUUGGGUGGCGAGUGGCGAACGGGUGAGUAACAUAUCGGAACGUACCGAGCAGUGGGGGAUAACUAAUCGAAAGAUUAGCUAAUACCGCAUAUUUUCUGAGGAAGAAAGCAGGGGACCUUUGGGCCUUGCGCUGUUUGAGCGGCCGAUAUCUGAUUAGCUAGUUGGUGGGGUAAAGGCCUACCAAGGCGACGAUCAGUAGCGGGUCUGAGAGGAUGAUCCGCCACACUGGGACUGAGACACGGCCCAGACUCCUACGGGAGGCAGCAGUGGGGAAUUUUGGACAAUGGGAGCAAGCCUGAUCCAGCCAUGCCGCGUGUCUGAAGAAGGCCUUCGGGUUGUAAAGGACUUUUGUCAGGGAAGAAAAGGGCGGGGUUAAUACCCCUGUCUGAUGACGGUACCUGAAGAAUAAGCACCGGCUAACUACGUG